UACAGAGGGUGCAAGCGUUGCUCGGAAUCAUUGGGCGUAAAGGGCAGGUAGGUGGUCUGAUUUGUCUGGAGGUGAAAUCCUUGAGCUUAACUCAAGAAGUGCCCCGGAAACGGUCAGACUUACGAGUCUUGGAGAGGGUGGCGGAAUUCCCGGUGUAGCGGUGAAAUGCGUAGAUAUUCGGAGGAACACCAGCGGCGAAGGCGGCUCACUGGUCCAUUACUGACGCUGAGGUGCGAAAGCGUGGGGAGCAAACAGG
rnacentral:rRNA from 1 species